rnacentral:lncRNA from 1 species
AAAAUAGGCUUGAGAAGCGAAGCUGAGGCAGCUUUUACACAUACCAAAUGACCCCUGAAGCUCGUCUUCUUGGACGAGACCAACCUCACACCAUUCCCCCUUCAUCAAGCUCACACAAACACGACCAGUUGCAGAACAACCAUUAAUCUGUUUAAAGUCAAUCCGAACUCCAGCCAAUAACCAGUCCAAACGUUCAAGCUCUGUUUCAGCGAUGUAAAGCCAUCGGAGCUUGGUGAGUUUCUUGAGUCGGCUUUGAGUUUCCGGCGAUUUAGUUGAGUUUCUGGUCGAGUACUUGUUUGCUCGCCGAUUCGAGUUGAAGUCUCCAUUCGAGAGUCAUGGUGUCGAUGAAUUCUGUCCGAGGUCCGAUUCGCACUUCUGCUGAUUUUUUCCGGUUGAUAAUCGAUAUUUGUUGUUGAAAGCUUUCGCUCUUCAUUUGGAUAAAAAUGUAAUCCCGAAGUUCCUCUAGUCUGAAUGAAACUUUUGCCAUGAAGGUCCAUCUCUUCAUUCUCUUAUUACUCCUUUAAUUUGGUGAUAUAAAAUAAGAUAUUGAGUUUUGGUUUAUAUUGCAUUAAACAUGAAAUCUCUACUAUUGCUGUUGUUGCAUUUUCAGCUGGAACCUGUUAGUUUUACUUUGAUUGUGGUGGUGAAUGAACAUAUUAUUUUAUAUGUUUAGGAAAGCUUCACUAAGUUCUUUUAUCUUGAAUAUUCAUUUUGUUUGCGGUUGAGAUGUAAUCUUUUGUUAGGUAUGUCCUAAUUCAAUUUGCCAAAAUUACUUACGGUGUAGAUAGUUAAAUACUAUUCUCACGUUUUCAGACUCUCGUGCACAUAUUAAAAAUGAUUCUUGUGAACUUAUGUUUAGUGCAAGACAGUUUGGAAUUACUUUACGCUUAAUUGUUUAAUUCAUGUCUAAAUGUGUGGAAUGAAUUCUAUUAGCUUGAGUACUGUAUUUAUGAGAUUAAAAAAACUUUUUCUCAAUUUACCUCAAACGCCUCGUUGACAUAUAUCAUGCUAUUAUGUGUGAAUUAAUAAGAUCAUGCUCAUUAUAGAACGUAGUUUGCUUUAGUCAUGUGAUCGUGGAUACGUUCGCAUGAUACGAUUACGAUUUCUAAAAAAACAAAAUUGGAGUAUGCGUUCGCGCAACUUCGGUUAAACUUUCUUAAUAGUAAUAAAACAUUAUUAAUUGUGGACAUGUUCGCGUGACAUGAUUUUUAGCGCGCCAAACAAAUUGGUAUACGUAUGCGUAACCCGUUUCAAGAUAUUUUUUUUUUAAUUUAAAGAGGCAAAAAAAGCAAAAGUACAUAGGUCCCGAAAUCAAUAAUUAAAUUUUAAUAAGCCAAGUAUGAUCAAAGCGACCAUGCUAGAACAACGGAACUCGGGAAUGCCUAACACCUUCUCCCGGAUUAACAGAAUUCCUUACCCAGAUUUCUGUGUUCGAAGACCGUAAUUAGUGUCAAAUUUCCUCAAUUCAGGAUUUUAAACCGGUGACUUGUGACACCAUAAAUUAUUCCAAGUGGCGACUCUAAUUUUUAAUAAAAUGAUCCCAUUCCGAUCGUCACUUCAAGUUGGAAAAUAACUCCCUUUAUUAUACCCUUUCGGUGGUGUAGUAAGUGAAAAAGGAGGUGUGACAAAUGGUUCUCAUAAUUAAUAUUAAAAAGGGGCUUGAUCCUAGGACCUUGUUUCUUAGGUGCGACUAUAAAUAGUGAGCUCUAUUAUCAUUGUAAAGGGGAUGAAUUUCCUGGCAAAUGUACUGUAACGAAAUGGCUAGUUGUUUCAUGAGUUACAAUCCCUUUUCCCCCAUUUAUGCUUCUUUAUGUGUUGUUCAGCUGCAUUUGGUCAUAUCAUGUUGGUUGGUUUGGGUUUGGAGUGGUCUUGAAGUGGAAUGGGACACUUAGUCUCUAAUUUAGAAGUUUAAGUCGGAAAAGUCAAUAGGAUAUUGACUUAUAUAUAGAAGAUCUCAGAUGUGAUUUGUGAUGGUUCGGAUAGCUCCGCUAGGUGAUUUUGGUCUUAGAAGCGUGUUCGGAAUGUAAUUUAGAGGUCCGUGGUAGAAUUAGACUUGAAUUGGCGAUAUUGAAAAUUUGGAGUUUUCCAGUUGGUAGUGGAAAUCUUUAUAUUGGGGUCGGAAUGGAAUUUCAAGAGAUGGAGUUGGUCCGUAAUGUCAUUUUUAACGUCUGUCCAAAAUUUCAGGUCAUUCGGAGGUGAUUUGAUAGGUUUCAGUGCUGUUUGUGGAAUUUAAAAGUUUUUAAGUUCUUAGGCUUGAAUCCGAGGUUUAUUUGGUCUUUUGCUAUUGUUUUGAGUGAUUCGAAGGCUCGAAUAAGUUUGAAUGUUGUUAUGGGAUGUGUUGGCAUAUUUGGUUGAGUUCCCGGGGGCUUCGGGUGAGUUUUUCGCUGGCUAACAGACCGAUGCUUGAUUUUGGAAGUUGACAAAUUUUCUGGUAUUUUGUUGCAGGGAAUUCCUUCAUCGCGUUCGCGAGAGGGCUCUCGCGUUCGCAAAGAGAUGUUAAGAGGGGCAACUGGGUUGUUCUUCGCGUUCGUGAUGUAGUCUCGCAUUCAUGAAGAUUCAUUAGUUUAAGGCUACGCAUUCACGACCAGUGCAUCGCGUUCGCGUAGAGUCUACGGUUAUUUGGAGCUUUAGGCUAAUAACCCUACGCGUUCGCAUGGUGUAUUCUGCAUUUGCAUAAGGUCAAGCAAAGUGGUCCUCGCAUUCGAGAGUGGGUCCUUGCAUUCAUGAAGAAGGGGCUUUUGGUCUGAGGCAGCUUGUGCUUUCCAAACGCGAGGGUACUACCGCGUUCGCAAAGAGGGAGUCAUCUGGGCGGAAUGUUUAAGUUCAAAAAUGAGGGUUUGAGUUCAUAAUUUCAAAAUUCAAUAGAGAGCUCGGGAGAAGGCGAUUUUAGAGGGAAUUUUCAGUGUAGUGAUUAAGGUAAGUGUUCCUCAUGUGUUUUUGGUUAAAUUCCAUGAUUGUGUCUUGAUUUUUCUAACAUCUAAAUUGGGAAUUUGUGGUGAUAAUUAGGAAAAAAGUGGAGGAUAAUUGGAAAGUAAAUUUUAGGUACUUCGAUGACCAUUUGACGUUGGAUUUUGGUGAAUUUGAUAUGGGUAGACUCCUAGUGAAUGUUCUUUUUAGUUUGUGAUUUUUAUCUAAUUCCGAGACGUGGACCCGGGGGUUUGAGCCAAAUUCAAGAUUUUUGGUCUAAUUUGAUGAUUUUCGUGUGUGUUUCAUUUCUUUAGCAUAUAUUGAUGAUAAUAUACUAAUUUUGGUUAGAUUCAGAGCAUUUGGAAGCCGAAUCGAGAGGCAAGGGCAUCUGAGGUUAGAGUUUUGGCUUGGUUUAAGGUAAGUAACGCUUCUUAACUUGGUUUUGAGGGUUCGAAACCCGGAUGUUGUGCUAUAUGAUUUUUACUGAGGUGACACAAAUGCCAAGUGACGGACGAAUGGGCGUGCACCGUAAGAAUUGUGGCCAGGUUCAUUCCAUGGCACCGCUUAAUGACUCUUUCUCGCUGAUAUUUUUGUUGUCAUUAAGUAAAAGAACUAUAAAUCAUGCUAAUUAUCAUGUUAGGUCUUCACGCCAAUACUGUUGAGACCUGAGUGGUCAUUUCUCACUGUCAUCUCAUUAGUUUCAUUGAUAUUCUGCACUCAGUCUUGUUUAUGCAUUUCAUAUUAUGUCUCAGUCUCGGUUGUUAUCAUUUGGCACAUCAUAUCAUUGUUUUAGGCUAUUAUUAUGGCAUUACGAGCCCCUGUGUGUGUGGGAUGGAGAGUGAUGACUAAGUGAGGCCGAGAGGAUGGUUAUGAGUGACAGUUGUGGGAUCACGCUGCACACCGUAACAAAUUAUUAAUUAUGCCUUUGUUGGUUUGUUAUAACGCUUAGACUGAAAGGAGCCCCUCUGGAGUCUAUACACCCCUAGUGAGCAUAGUUGAUUAUAUUCAGGGAUGGAUCUUCUCUUGGUAUGGAGAUGGAUCUUCUGCAUGAGGCUGGAUUGGCUUGUCUUUCCAUACUGGAGACUGUUGGUUUGUGAUGUAUAUAUAUUCCGUGAUGGAUCUUCCCUAGGCCUUGAGAUCCAUAUGCAGUACCGAGUGGUUAUUAUUAUUAUUAUUAUUAUUAUUAUUAUUAUUAUUAUUAUUAUUAUUAUUAUUAUUAUUAUUAUUAUUAUUAUAUCAUCUGGAGAUGUAUCUUCUCCAUAGGCUGGAAUGGCUUUCUAAGUACUGAGUGACUGCUGUCAGAGAUGUAUAUAUUUCAGGAUGGAUCUUCCCUGGGCCGUAUGAGCCAUAUACAGUAUUGAAUGGACGAGUAUUCGGGAUUGUGGGCACAUGAGGCACUCAGGAUGGUGCAUUUCAUACAGCAAGUGCAUCGGCAUGUAGAUGUAGUAGAGUUACACUUCUUUACCUUAUUUAUACCAGCUCUGUUUUAUGUUUUGAGCUUUUUAUUUAACUGAAAGUAUGCCUACAUUUUUGUACGUUAUUACUAUUAUCUUUGAUGAGGUUGAGUUCGUCACUACCUGUCAGUCCAUAGGUUGGACUUGUUAGUUACUGAAUUAGUGUACUCACGUUACCCCCAACACCUUGUGUGCAGAUCGAGGUACGUUUUGCCCUAGUAGCAAUUGCUGAUUAAGGUUGCAGGC